rnacentral:pre_miRNA from 1 species
ACAACAUUCGGGCCGUCGGUCUACCUAGCAAAGACAUUCGCUCGGUUGAAGAUCUUCCCUCUUUAAC